ACCCUAAGACCAUGACCCGAGCUGAAGGCAGAGGCUUAACCCACUGAGCCACCCAGGUGCCCCGACUUCCUCAAUUUAAAUUCAGCAAAACAGCAGAGUAGUUCUAAUGCUCCUUCUGUGAAUCUGUGUGCCAAAUACAAGAGGCAGAGUUACAAUAAUGAAGAGGAAGACAAUGAAAAGGAAAUCGAACAUGAAGGAACAGACUCAGAGACAAGAGAAAAAAACUUGAGAGGACCAAAGAACUUUCUGUGCUUCAGUUUCCACACUGCCUAGAAAGAGCAAGUACCCCAUCUCUCCCUCCACCAAACUGUGACAAUAAGUGAUGUCGAUGCUGAGUGGCUAGAAAUCGGACAAUUCCAAAGAGGCAUCCAGAGACCAUCAGCUUAUGUUGAAGCCUCCACCCCUCCUUUAGUCAAGCCCUUCAAUUCAUUUUGGAGCCAUGGCCCAAGCCAGAAGUCUGAAAUUUGCAACCAUUACCCUACUCCAUAGAAGAAUGGGUAUCCCUGGUUCUGUGCAGUGAGGGAGUAUACAAGGACUCGAAAGCUGCUCGCAUACCCAUGCUUAGACUUUGCGGACUUCAGGCUGAAGACCUUCAAUGCGAGGGAACUGCAUUCCAAAGAGGAAGACUAUGUUAGAACUGAAGCUAUAAUCACAAUUUUUCCCAUUCUCAGCCACUGUUGAUUGCAUCUCCAUGUAAAGAUUUUUUUUUUUUUCCUCUAACCUUGUUGUUUAUUUAUGGCUGAUCUUAUCACAAUCUAUGUUUAUCUAGAAAUACAAAAUGGAUUUUCUCUCUCCUGUUGAAAAUCCCAAGACCAGUUCUUGGCUUCCUGUUUUCUUCUCCACAGGUUCCAGGUGCUUGCAUCUUAUUUUAAAAAGGAAAAGCCUA